UACGUAGGGGGCAAGCGUUAUCCGGAUUUACUGGGUGUAAAGGGAGCGUAGACGGCAUGGCAAGUCUGAAGUGAAAGCCCGGGGCUCAACCGCGGGACUGCUUUGGAAACUGUUAAGCUGGGGUGCAGGAGAGGUAAGUGGAAUUCCUAGUGUAGCGGUGAAAUGCGUAGAUAUUAGGAGGAACUCCAGUGGCGAAGGCGGCUUACUGGACUGUAACUGACGUUGAGGCUCGAAAGCGUGGGGAGCAAACA
rnacentral:rRNA from 1 species